rnacentral:pre_miRNA from 1 species
UAACUACUCCAUCCGUUCUAAAAUUCUUGUCUUAGAUUUGUUUAGAUAUGAAUGUAUCUAGUCAUAUUUUAGUAUUUAGAUACAUUCAUUUUUAGACAAGCCUAAGACAAGAAUUUUAGGACGGAGGGAGUGUAUA